GGGCUACUAAUUUGGUUACAACAGAAUGUUCAGCCCCGUGUCAGUCAUGAAGGGACUUCUCUCUCAUCAAUAGUCCUCCAUGAAAGUAUAAGCCAGACCCACAAAGUCCUUAUCAUCCCUAUCUUUUGGUCUAUGAGUAGGGGGAUAAUAUCUGCCUUCCUGAACAUUUCCUCUAUUACUACUGUUGCUCCCUCCAAAACUUCCUCUUCCUCUAUAGCCACCACUGUAAC